rnacentral:rRNA from 1 species
CACGGGGGAGCAAGCGUUAUUCGGAUUCAUUGGGCGUAAAGAGCUCGUAGGUGGCUCUGUAAGUCGGAGGUGAAAGACCACGGCUCAACCGUGGAAACGCCUUCGAAACUGUGGAGCUUGAGGCUGGGAGAGGAAAUCGGAAUUCCUGGUGUAGCGGUGAAAUGCGUAGAUAUCAGGAGGAACACCGGUGGCGAAGGCGGAUUUCUGGACCAGUUCUGACACUGAGGAGCGAAAGCCAGGGGAGCAAACAGG